rnacentral:lncRNA from 1 species
AACUGAUAUGAUUGAUUAUUCAUAUAACAAAUCAUAUCAAGGUGAAUUUCAAAUGUUACCAUACAAUUUUGUAAUGCACUAUACACACAAAAUCACUAUGAACUCAUAGUAAAACAUGAAGUUCUUUCUAAAUUUUAGAAAACCAUAUUUUGAGAAGUCUCUUCCACUUUUCAGAUUUGGGCAUGUUUCAAGAACAAACACAGACACUCACAGGUUCAGAUUUGAACAUUUUCUUUUCUUUCCUUAUUUUUUUCAUGCAUGUUGAAUUUGUUCUUGCACAAGCAAAUCAAUACAAGAGGUCAACAGAAUUCAGUUUCUGUUGUGUCUCCCCCAAGAAACAAUAGAGAAAUAGAAGAGAGCCUCAGAGCCAGUCACGCCCUUCACCUCAUCUGUCUCCUGGGGAGACAGCUGAUUUGCUCUCUGUACACCAGAGCAGAAGCAAGCAGGUAGGUCACCACGUGGCACCAACAGUCAGAUGAGGAAGAGAGACACAGGAGCUCAGAAGGUAAAUGUGUUUCCUUAGGCUCUGUUGCUUAGGAUUUCCUCCAGUGAUCAAAGAAAAGCAACUUUCAUUUAUUUUUCUCACCAAUGAUUGGACUGAUGGUCUUGGGGAUUUAUAGUGAGAUAUUCAAAACAACAACAACAAAAAGAGUAAUUGCAAAGGAUGGAUUUCUUUUUUUUUUUUAAAUUAUAAUUGCAUAUAUUUUUGCUUUGCUUUUAGUUUCAGGAAAGGGAAUACAAGCAAACAUGUGUAUUAGGUUGAAAUGUUUAAGAGAGUGGAGCCAUGCUAGCACAGCUUUAUCCUAGGAGGUUGCAAACCUGCCACACGCAGAAGUUUUGGAGCCUACAGGACACACAGCAGUGACUUGUUUGUGGCCUCUCCAGGAUGAACAUCACCCAACUCACGUCAGUCACUGAAUCACAACUUAAGACGUACUUCCUGCUUUCUAAUGUGCUAACUGUUCAGUUUGCAGUGAGCAAAAAAUAAAUGAACCAGUAUUUUCAUAUUUAUGCAAACUAGGCAAAGGAUGGAUUUCAAGCUUGGACAAAUAUAAAGGCAUAUUUUAAAAUUACUUAGCUCAUUAAUAAGGAGUCAAGUAGAGAGCAAGACUGUCUUACGCAAAGUGAUAGAAAUAGGACUGAGGCUUGCAGGUUUGAGUCAAAGAGACCUGUUUAUUAUUGCAAUGGAAAUUUAAGAUUUAAAUUGAAUUCCUUUUAAAAAUAUAUAUUUUAUGUAUAUCUGUGUGUAUAAUGUGUAUUUGUUUGGAUGUAAAUAUAUACACAUAGAUGCCUAAAGAUAGUAUUGGACUCUUCAGAGCUGGAGCGACAGGCAAUUAUAACCAACCUGACAUCGAUGCUGGGAAUUGAACUUGGGACGUCUAGAAUUUUAGGGAGUGUUUUUAACUGUUGAUCCAUCUCUCUACACUGGAAGUGUAUUUCUUUUAGAUCC